rnacentral:rRNA from 1 species
ACGGAGGGUGCAAGCGUUGUUCGGAAUUAUUGGGCGUAAAGGGCGCGUAGGCGGUAAUGUAAGUCAGAUGUGAAAUACUUCGGCUCAACUGAAGAACUGCAUCUGAAACUGCAUAACUAGAGUACAGAAGAGGGAAACGGAAUUCCCGGUGUAGAGGUGAAAUUCGUAGAUAUCGGGAGGAACACCAGUGGCGAAGGCGGUUUCCUGGUCUGAUACUGACGCUGAGGCGCGAAAGUGUGGGGAGCAAACAG